UGAUCAAGUCUUUAACUUCCAUCGGGGUGU
rnacentral:sRNA from 1 species